rnacentral:rRNA from 1 species
AUUGAACGCUGGCGGAAUGCUUUACACAUGCAAGUCGAACGGCAGCACGGGGGCAACCCUGGUGGCGAGUGGCGAACGGGUGAGUAAUACAUCGGAACGUGCCCGGUCGUGGGGGAUAACGUAUCGAAAGUUACGCUAAUACCGCAUACGAUCUGAGGAUGAAAGCGGGGGACCUUCGGGCCUCGCGCGAUCGUACCGGCCGAUGUCAGAUUAGGUAGUUGGUGGGGUAAAGGCCUACCAAGCCGACGAUCUGUAGCUGGUCUGAGAGGACGACCAGCCACACUGGGACUGAGACACGGCCCAGACUCCUACGGGAGGCAGCAGUGGGGAAUUUUGGACAAUGGGCGCAAGCCUGAUCCAGCCAUUCCGCGUGCAGGACGAAGGCCUUCGGGUUGUAAACUGCUUUUGUAUGGAACGAAAAGGCUCUGGCUAAUACCUGGGGCUCAUGACGGUACCGUAAGAAUAAGCACCGGCUAACUACGUG